AUGAACGCUGGCGGCGUGCCUAAUACAUGCAAGUCGAGCGAACGGACGAGAAGCUUGCUUCUCUGAUGUUAGCGGCGGACGGGGGAGUAACACGUGGAUAACCUACCUAUAAGACUGGGAUAACUUCGGGAAACCGGAGCUAAUACCGGAUAAUAUUUUGAACCGCAUGGUUCAAAAGUGAAAGACGGUCUUGCUGUCACUUAUAGAUGGAUCCGCGCUGCAUUAGCUAGUUGGUAAGGUAACGGCUUACCAAGGCAACGAUGCAUAGCCGACCUGAGAGGGUGAUCGGCCGCACUGGAGCUGAGACACGGUCCAGACUCCUACGGGAGGCAGCAGUAGGGAAUCUUCCGCAAUGGGCGAAAGCCUGACGGAGCAACGCCGCGUGAGUGAUGAAGGUCUUCGGAUCGUAAAACUCUGUUAUUAGGGAAGAACAUAUGUGUAAGUAACUGUGCACAUCUUGACGGUACCUAAUCAGAAAGCCACGGCUAACUACGUG
rnacentral:rRNA from 1 species